CCUACGGGAGGCAGCAGUGAGGAAUAUUGGUCAAUGGGCGCAGGCCUGAACCAGCCAAGUAGCGUGAAGGAUGACUGCCCUAUGGGUUGUAAACUUCUUUUAUAAAGGAAUAAAGUCGGGUAUGUAUACCCGUUUGCAUGUACUUUAUGAAUAAGGAUCGGCUAACUCCGUGCCAGCAGCCGCGGUAAUACGGAGGAUCCGAGCGUUAUCCGGAUUUAUUGGGUUUAAAGGGAGCGCAGACGGGUCGUUAAGUCAGCUGUGAAAGUUUGGGGCUCAACCUUAAAAUUGCAGUUGAUACUGGCGUCCUUGAGUGCGGUUGAGGUGUGCGGAAUUCGUGGUGUAGCGGUGAAAUGCUUAGAUAUCACGAAGAACUCCGAUUGCGAAGGCAGCCUGCUAAGCUGCAACUGACAUUGAGGCUCGAAAG
rnacentral:rRNA from 1 species